AUUGAACGCUGGCGGCAUGCUUUACACAUGCAAGUCGAACGGCAGCACGGGUGCUUGCACCUGGUGGCGAGUGGCGGACGGGUGAGUAAUACAUCGGAACGUGUCCAGAAGAGGGGGAUAACGCAUCGAAAGAUGUGCUAAUACCGCAUAAGCCCUGAGGGGGAAAGUGGGGGACCGCAAGGCCUCACGCGAAUGGAGCGGCCGAUGUCAGAUUAGCUAGUUGGUGGGGUAAAGGCCCACCAAGGCGACGAUCUGUAGCGGGUCUGAGAGGAUGAUCCGCCACACUGGGACUGAGACACGGCCCAGACUCCUACGGGAGGCAGCAGUGGGGAAUUUUGGACAAUGGGCGCAAGCCUGAUCCAGCCAUGCCGCGUGCGGGACGAAGGCCUCGG
rnacentral:rRNA from 1 species